rnacentral:rRNA from 1 species
UUGAAGAAGGUAUCUUUGGGUCUGGCUCUUGUCUAUGUUUCUUGGAACAGAACGUCACAGAGGGUGAGAAUCCCGUGCGAUGAGAUGUCCCAGACCUAUGUAAAGUUCCUUCGAAGAGUCGAGUUGUUUGGGAAUGCAGCUCUAAGUGGGUGGUAAAUUCCAUCUAAAGCUAAAUAUUGGCGAGAGACCGAUAGCGAACAAGUACAGUGAUGGAAAGAUGAAAAGAACUUUGAAAAGAGAGUGAAAAAGUACGUGAAAUUGUUGAAAGGGAAGGGCUUGAGAUCAGACUUGGUAUUUUGUAUGUUACUCUCUCGGGGGUGGCCUCUACAGUUUACCGGGCCAGCAUCAGUUUGAGCGGUAGGAUAAGUGCAAAGAAAUGUGGCACUGCUUCGGUAGUGUGUUAUAGUCUUUGUCGAUACUGCCAGCUUAGACUGAGGACUGCGGCUUCGGCCUAGGAUGUUGGCAUAAUGAUCUUAAGUCGCCCGUCUU